rnacentral:misc_RNA from 1 species
GUUGAAGAACGUAGCGAAAUGCGAUAAGUAAUGUGAAUUGCAGAAUUCAGUGAAUCAUCGAAUCUUUGAACGCACAUUGCGCCCGCCAGUAUUCUGGCGGGCAUGCCUGUUCGAGCGUCAUUACAACCCUCAGGCCCCCGGGCCUGGCGUUGGGGAUCGGCGGAAGCCCCCUGCGGGCACAACGCCGUCCCCCAAAUACAGUGGCGGUCCCGCCGCAGCUUCCAUUGCGUAGUAGCUAACACCUCGCAACUGGAGAGCGGCGCGGCCACGCCGUAAAACACCCAACUUCUGAAUGUUGACCUCGAAUCAGGUAGGAAUACCCGCUGAACUUAAGCAUAUCAAUAAGCGGAGGA